ensembl:lncRNA
CUCUACAUGGCUCUGUAGUGUUUUCACAUCUAAUUCACAAGUCUACAUCUCUAUAUGGCUCUGUAGUGUUUUCACAUCUGAUUCACAAGUCUACAUGGCUCUGUAGUGUUUUCACAUCUAAUUCACAGGUCUACAUCUCUACAUGGCUCUGUAGUGUUUUCACAUCUAAUUCACAGGUCUACAUCUCUACAUGGCUCUGUAGUGUUUUCACAUCUAAUUCACAAGUCUACAUCUCUACAUGGCUCUGUAGUGUUUUCACAUCUAAUUCACAAGUCUACAUCUCUACAUGGCUCUGUAGUGUUUUCACAUCUAAUUCACAGGUCUACAUCUCUACAUGGCUCUGUAGUGUUUUCACAUCUAAUUCACAGGUCUACAUCUCUACAUGGCUCUGUAGUGUUUUCACAUCUAAUUCACAGGUCUACAUCUCUACAUGGCUCCAUAGUGUUUUCACAUCUAAUUCACAGGUCUAUAUGGCUCUGUAGUGUUUUCACAUCUAAUUCACAGGUCUACAUCUCUACAUGGCUCUGUAGUGUUUUCACAUCUAAUUCACAAGUCUACAUCUCUACAUGGCUCUGUAGUGUUUUCACAUCUAAUUCACAGGUCUACAUCUCUACAUGGCUCUGUAGUGUUUUCACAUCUAAUUCACAGGUCUACAUCUCUACAUGGCUCUGUAGUGUUUUCACAUUUAAUUCACAGGUCUACAUCUCUACAUGGCUCUGUAGUGUUUUCACAUCUAAUUCACAGGUCUACAUCUCUACAUGGCUCUGUAGUGUUUUCACAUCUAAUUCACAGGUCUACAUCUCUACAUGGCUCUGUAGUGUUUUCACAUCUAAUUUACAAGUCUACAUCUCUAUAUGGCUCUGUAGUGUUUUCUGUGGCUUACUGCCGGUGUAGCACGCCUGUUUGUGUGUGUGUUGUUUCUGUGAGUAUAUCGUAGUUUUAGUAGUCCACUGUAUCAAAACUGCUGUCUGCUUGCCCCGUCCUCAUAUCUAAAGAGCAGGGCAGGCUUCUAAUAAUGGGUACAUGUAGGGGUGUGCGCUUGUGUUUGCUUUACAUCGUCUUGGAUACAGUAAAGUCUGUUUUCUGAUGGUUUGUGUCUUGGUAUGCAUCACAAAUUAGCAACUGACUUUUUGAUGACUUCAUGAUUUUUAAGUGAUGACAUAAUCAACAAAACUUGAGUAUUUAUAGUAGUAACAGUGACAUGGCAAAGCCAUUCUCAUUAGGCUGAUGUCAAACCACAGCUACUGACUACUGUUACCACCUCAGCAGUGAUAUGCAUUCAAUAAGGUACCAGUUGUUUAUGAAAAAGGAUUGCAGCUAUAUGAUGGGUACUGGAUGUGUUUAAACCUCUUAACCUAAUUGUGACAGCAUUGACUAUGAUAUCUUACAAAAUAUAAAUAAGUAUCUAUUUCUUUUGUUUUCUGGGGGGUGGGGGGUGUGGCCUAGCCAGUCUCCAGACCUUAAUCCCAUAGAAAAUAUGUGGAGGGAGCUGAAGGUUUGAGUUGCCAAACAUCAGCCACGAAACCUUAAUGACUUGGAGAAAUCUGCAAAGAGGAGUGGGACAAAAUCCCUCCUGAGAUGUGUGCAAAUCUGGUGGCCAACUACAAGAAACUUCUGACCUCUGUGAUUACCAACAAGGGUUUUGCCACCAAGUACUAAGUUAUGUUUUGCAGAGGGGUCAAAUACUUAUUUCCCUCAUUAAAAUGCAAAUCAAUUUAUAACAUUUUUGACAUGCGUUUUUCUGGAUUUUUUUGUUGUUAUUCUGUCUCUCACUGUUCAAAUAAACCUACCAUUAAAAUUAUAGACGAAUCAUGUCUUUGUCAGUGGGAAAUGUACAAAAUCAGCAGGGGAUCAAAUACUUUUUUCCCUCACUGUAUGUGUGUGUAAAUAUUGUACAUAAUCAAUGCUGUAAUUUGGGGACUCUGUAUGCUUUUUGAUUGAGUGAUGCGUCUCCAGCUUUGUUCAAGCGAUAACUCCAUGUCGUACAUCUGUGUCUCCUCGACUACUGUGUAUAUAAACUUGCAUGCGUGUAUGAAAACGUAUUUUUCUUCUUCUACCAGAAUAAGGUUUUUUUAUUUUUAAAGUUAAUGUGUCACUAUAGUUAGUUUUUGUUUAGCCAUUUUGUUGAAGUGAACAAGGUGUGUGCUCAGAUUAAUAUAGAUGUGUAUAUUAUUGUGAAAGGAAUGCCAAUCGUGGGCAGGUCUAUAAACAUGAAGCUGUGUAGAGAAAUAUUUGCCAAACGAUGCCCUGCGAAUAUUGUUUUAAUUAAAGGGGAUUGGCAGGAAUAGCUGGCAGUGCUGUUUAUGAGCGUCAAGUAUAUGAAAUAAAGAAUGAUGUUCUCUAGCAAAUUAAAUCAUGUGUUCCUCUGGAUAUAAAGCUACACAACAUUGAGUACAUUGCAGCUUACAUAAAUAGGUCUACUGCAGGUCAUUUUGGAGACAAUAUUAUGUCAGAGUGCAUGCACACUGGAGAGCAUGGGCGCAAAAACACUACACCUCAAUAACAAUAGCAUUGUUUAGUUCUCACAAUCACAACUCAAAAAAUGUAAUCGUAUGAGUUACUGUGCCUUCAAUGUUUGCAAAUCAGAUAUCAAUUGUUGUUGGGAAUAAAAAAG